rnacentral:misc_RNA from 1 species
UACGGAGGGUGCGAGCGUUAAUCGGAAUUACUGGGCGUAAAGGGCACGCAGGCGGUCUGUCAAGUCGGAUGUGAAAUCCCCGGGCUCAACCUGGGAACUGCAUCCGAAACUGGCAGGCUAGAGUCUUGUUGAGGGAGGUAGAAUGCCAGGAGUAGCGGUGAAAUGCGUAGAGAUGUGGAGGAAUACCGGUGGCGAAGGCGGCCUCCUGGACAAAGACUGACGCUCAGGUGCGAAAGCGUGGGGAGCAAACAGG